AAAACUGCUAGAAGAAAACAUAGGAAAGAAGUUCCUUGACAUUAGUCUUUGCAAUGAUUCUUUUAGAUAUGAUACCAA